ensembl:lncRNA
GCGAGCUGAGUCGAGUCGUGUCGAGCUGGUACCAUGCAGUGGAAAAGCGGCAAUAGUUACCAAGCAACCAUCAAUGGACAUAAACCAUAAACCAGAGCUGCCAUAAACCAUUGAUACAAAGUUACGUUGUGCCUACAGUGAAUAGGAGGAAGGCACUUGCCUUACUUGUUAUCCUCCAAAGGAUUAAAAAGAGAAAACGGACCUGGGUGACUGCAAUCAACCAGCGCAGGCGACAGCAAGGGUCUAACAAUGAGGCAAGGAGGCGCAGGAGAAGGGCACUGCUGAAUAAAACGGCAGUUGCGGUAAUAUUACAGCAGCAGGAGGCGCGCUAUGUUGACCUUAGGGGUCAGUAUUGUCAGCUGAAUGACAAAACCCCAGCUGUUUCCCUUUUUUUUGGUGACGGCGACCUAAAGAAAGACUUCCGUCUUUCUAGGGAGUCCGUGAAUGCCCUUGUGGAGGCCCUGGUGGAUGAGCACAUCCAUGGCUGGGGG